rnacentral:rRNA from 1 species
AGCAGCCGCGGUAAUUCCAGCUCCAAUAGCGUAUAUUAAAGUUGUUGCAGUUAAAAAGCUCGUAGUUGAAUUUCGGGAUCAAUACGUCGGUCGUGCCUUUGGUACGUACUAAUGUCAUUGAUUUCUCCCUUCUGAUGAAUCAUGAUGUCAUUAAUUUGAUGUUGUGGGGAGUCAGGACUGUUACUUUGAAAAAAUUAGAGUGUUUAAAGCAAGCACGCGCUUGAAUACAUUAGCAUGGAAUAAUGAAAUAGGACGUUCGAUUCUAUUUUGUUGGUUUCUAGGAUCAACGUAAUGAUUAAUAGGGAUAGUUGGGGGCAUUAGUAUUCAAUUGUCAGAGGUGAAAUUCUUGGAUUUAUUGAAGACUAACUACUGCGAAAGCAUUUGCCAAGGAUGUUUUCAUUAAUCAAGAACGAAAGUUAGGGGAUCGAAGACGAUCAGAUACCGUCGUAGUCUUAACCAUAAACUAUGCCGACUAGGGAUCGGAUGAUGUUAAUUUUUUAAUGACUCAUUCGGCGCCUUACG